GAUCAUGCUCAGGAUGAACGCUAGCUACAGGCUUAACACAUGCAAGUCGAGGGGCAGCAUGAAAGGAACUUCGGUUUCUUUUUGAUGGCGACCGGCGCACGGGUGCGUAACGCGUAUCGAACCUGCCUCAUACUCGGGGAUAGCCUUGCGAAAGUAAGAUUAAUACCCGGCGGUCUCGGACGGCCGCAUGACAGUCCGAGCGAAGAUUUAUCGGUAUGAGAUGGCGAUGCGU
rnacentral:rRNA from 1 species